UUGCUCCCAGGGGGAGACAGACGGGGGGGGGCCGCGCCGGGGCUCGGGGGGGCUAAGACCGGCGGAGCGCAGGGGCCGCGGUGUCCCGGGCUGCCUUGGACUGUCCCGGGCCAGGGCCACCCCCCGAGUGCCACCAACGGCACUGGGGGCCGGAGAGGCGAUGGAUGCGAUUUUCCCCUCUUUCCCGCUGGAAGAGAAGGAUGUUCUCCUCUGCUGUUUAGAUUUCCUACUAAAGAUGUCAUCGGAAAGUCUGGGAGGGAGCGGGGACCGUGCUCUGCUUCUUCCACAGUAACAACCAUAUUCUGCAUAUUGAAAAAUACAACAAACAGUGGGAAAGGCUGAAACCCCCCGAAAAAAAGGGAGGAAAAAAAUUAAAAAGAAAAAAACCCCCAACCUUUUCAAUAUUGAUUCAACAAAAAAAAAAAGAGAGAAUUUAAAAGAGAAGAAGCAGCACCAGCAGCAAGGAGAAUAUAGGCUCAGCAGCUCUCCAGAUUAUCGGAACCCUUUCAAAACUCACACAACAAAUACAGCCACCGCAUCUAAUGCAUCAUUUACCAGAGCAGAUCUCCGCGUUUGAUCGGCAGAUAGGCAAAAUCUAUGUAUUCCUUGCUUUGCUUAGUAUGCAUGGACGCGGAGCUGCUCUGCAGGCGGUGCCCCCGGCCGGGCCCGGGACACCCCCGAGGCUCUUGGCACACACGGGGUUUGCUGUGGACAUGGUGGAGUGAGGAGAGUGUUCCCUGGCUGUCCCCGAGCCGGGGCAGGGUGGGACAGCACCCCGGCUCGCAACGUGCUGCCGUGCAAUGGGAAUUCGGAGUUGCUCUGCUGAGGAGCUGGUGGAUUUGCAGGGAGAAGGGAAGAAGGAGAGCAUCAUCCUGAGCACCCGCUUGUGCUCGCGCUCACUCUGCACUCACAGUCACGUUCACCCACACCCAGGAGCUGCUCCAGGGGUGGCGAGCUCCCAAAAGCCACUCUUAGGCUCAGCGGUGCCUUAGUCCAGCCCGAGCCCUCGACACUCUCAGGGUCCACCUUGUAAAACCUCCCAGUUUGUGUCCCCCAUAAUCCUGUCAGCCCAGCCAGGCCAUGGGCACAGCAGGGCACCUGUAUUCUCCUUCUUUCCUUCUUCUUUCCUUUUUCUUUCGUCCUCUUCCUUCUUUCCUUCUUUCCUUCUCUCCUUCUCUCCUUCUUUCCUUCUCUCCUUCUCUCCUUCUCUUUCCUUCUUUCCCCUCCAGGUUUUCUGGUUCCUUACUAUCUUUUCUGUUGUGAUUAUUUCCCCCAAAAUAACUCUACACGUCAGUGAAUGGACCCCUGCUCCAGAGCAGCAGAUCCCUGAUCCAGCACAGGGGUGAAUAUCCCCUCGGCUCUCACCCACCCUUCUCUUCCCUGCAGUGCCUCAGCCUGUGCCCAGGUACCAAACAAGGUGGCAUUCCGUUGUGUGCCACUGCAGGCCACUCCUGUGUUCCCAGCGCUGGAUCCCUGGCCCACGGGGGGUGAGGCGCCGGGUUGGGAACAGGACCCCCACCGUGUCCCAGCUCCUCUGCCUGCCCAGCAAUGCUCGUCCCUCCCCGGCCUGCAAAGGGAGAGAAACUCGGGGGAAGUUGGUGGCGAGAGCAGCCCGGCCCUGCCCGUGCUCCAGAGCUUUGCAAAUGUUCAACUUGUACUAAUUUUUUUAUGGCUGUAUUCGCAGUUGUUCCCUGUAAAAAACGGACCUGUGUUAGUUUAUUAAUAACCUAAACAUUACGUAUUAAAGACCUGUGAGUGACACAA